CCAGGAUCUAAUUACUCCCACUGUAUUUAAGUUUCCCAAGCAAGGUUUGGGCUGUAGAGAGGGUCUUGGAGCUCUUCGGAGACACUGGGGCUCCCAGAACAAAUUUGUUUCUCACAGUACUGGUGAAAGGUGCAUUUUCUUCACCAUCCCAGCAGGGAUAAAUAUACCAGGUGUUUAGCACGUAAAACCAGAAGCAAAUACCACAAUCAAUGAAAAUUUAAAAACAAGCAGAACUUAAAAUGACUUUUUAACCAUUCCAAAUAACGGUAAUUAUAUUUUUGUCUUUAUACCUCCUCAAGAUUUGCUUUGCUUGAAACAAGAUUUUUUCCCUAAGCAAACAGUGUUAUUCUCCCUUACUUCCAGUUUUCUUGGGUUCUAAGAAGCCAUCUAGCUGUAAGGUGACUCAUACUUUUUAUUUUAAAUUCUCAGCACAUCCUGGUUCCUUUUCUUAAUUCUAUAUUAAUAACAUAUACCGAAGAAGGAAAGAGUAAAUAUUGCAUCAUAUUAGACAACUUUGAAAAAUUAUAAAAUGCAAUUGGUUUUAAUGUGCCCUGAAAACCAACUUAAGUCAAAAAAAGGAAAAUGUCACUUUGAUAAUUGAAGCAGUGGGAAUAGUUAAGAAUUGGGGAA
ensembl:lncRNA